GGUGGAUUAGUGGCGAACGGGUGAGUAACACGUGAGUAACCUACCCUUGACUCUGGGAUAAGCCCGGGAAACUGGGUCUAAUACCGGAUAGGAACGUCCACCGCAUGGUGGUUGUUGGAAAGAUUUAUCGGUCAUGGAUGGACUCGCGGCCUAUCAGCUUGUUGGUGAGGUAAUGGCUCACCAAGGCGACGACGGGUAGCCGGCCUGAGAGGGUGACCGGCCACACUGGGACUGAGACACGGCCCAGACUCCUACGGGAGGCAGCAGUGGGGAAUAUUGCACAAUGGGCGAAAGCCUGAUGCAGCGACGCCGCGUGAGGGAUGACGGCCUUCGGGUUGUAAACCUCUUUCAGUAGGGAAGAAGCGAAAGUGACGGUACCUGCAGAAGAAGCACCGGCUAACUACGUGCCAGCAGCCGCGGUAAUACGUAGGGUGCGAGCGUUAUCCGGAAUUAUUGGGCGUAAAGAGCUCGUAGGCGGUUUGUCGCGUCUGUCGUGAAAGUCCGGGGCUUAACCCCGGAUCUGCGGUGGGUACGGGCAGACUAGAGUGCAGUAGGGGAGACUGGAAUUCCUGGUGUAGCGGUGGAAUGCGCAGAUAUCA
rnacentral:rRNA from 1 species